rnacentral:rRNA from 1 species
AACGCGAAGAACCUUACCUGGGCUUGACAUGUUAGUCGUAGACUUGUGAAAGCUUGUCGUCACUUCGGGUGGACUAUCACAGGUGCUGCAUGGCUGUCGUCAGCUCGUGUCGUGAGAUGUUGGGUUAAGUCCCGUAACGAGCGCAACCCCUAUGAACUGUUGCCAGCGGGUAAUGCCGGGGACUCUGUUCAGACUGCCCAGAUUAACUGGGAGGAAGGAGGGGAUGGCGUCAAGUCAGUAUGGCCCUUACGCCCAGGGCUGCACACGUGCUACAAUGUCCAGUACAAUGUGAACCGAGACCGCGAGGUGGAGGAAAUCAAUAAAACUGGGCUCAGUUCGGAUUGUAGGCUGCAACUCGCCUACAUGAAGUUGGAAUCGCUAGUAAUGGUACAUCAGCUACGGUACCGUGAAUACGUUCCCGGGUCUUGUACACACCG